AGUGAACGCUGGCGGUAGGCCUAACACAUGCAAGUCGAACGGCAGCACAGUAAGAGCUUGCUCUUACGGGUGGCGAGUGGCGGACGGGUGAGGAAUACAUCGGAAUCUACUUUUUCGUGGGGGAUAACGUAGGGAAACUUACGCUAAUACCGCAUACGACCUACGGGUGAAAGCAGGGGAUCUUCGGACCUUGCGCGAUUGAAUGAGCCGACGUCGGAUUAGCUAGUUGGCGGGGUAAAGGCCCACCAAGGCGACGAUCCGUAGCUGGUCUGAGAGGAUGAUCAGCCACACUGGAACUGAGACACGGUCCAGACUCCUACGGGAGGCAGCAGUGGGGAAUAUUGGACAAUGGGCGCAAGCCUGAUCCAGCCAUACCGCGUGGGUGAAGAAGGCCUUCGGGUUGUAAAGCCCUUUUGUUGGGAAAGAAAAGCAGCAGGUUAAUACCCCGCUGUUCUGACGGUACCCAAAGAAUAAGCACCGGCUAACUUCG
rnacentral:rRNA from 1 species